rnacentral:misc_RNA from 1 species
UAUUAGUUAUGUUUACAGAAAUUAAAUUCUUUCGUCACUUCUCUUCCAACUUCCAGAGCACAGUCCAACCCAUUUUAUCAUCAGCAAGGCCCAUCUGUAUAUUAGAAAGGGCAGAGGAGAGCUGCCUGGACACAGUACCAAGUCCGCCUUCCUUGUAGGACAACCUUUUACCCUGGUAAGUAAUGCUACCCACAGGCAAUAAACCAACAGCAUUUCCCGUACAAAAAACUUCAUCAGCACUAAAUAAUUCCUCAACUGAAACAGGUCUCUCCUCAACCUGAAACUUUUGUCUGCGAGCAAUAUCAAUAACACUUUCUCGUGUAAUGCCUGGCAGAAUUGUCCCUCUCAAUGCUGGAGUACAUAUUGUUUUAUCCUUCACUACAAAAAUGUUAGCAGCAGAAAUUUCUUCAAGAUAUUUGUUGUGAACAGCAUCAAGGUACAAAGCAUCAUGAAAACCACUUGCUUUAGCUGCAACUUGUCCCUUCAUAACCAUGGCAUAAUUUCCUAUAGCAUUUAUGCUUCCAACUCCACCAGAAACUGCACGAUGAAUAUCAUUCUCAAUGACCAGAUUAAUUGGUUCUGCACCAUGCUCAAAAUAAUUCCUCACUGGAGUAACAUAAAUCAAAAAGAUAAAUUCAGGAGAGGGCGUAAGACUAAGAACAGCUCCGCUGCCUAUAAGUAGGGGUCGGAUGUAUAAAAAGCCUUUACUUGGAGGGGGAACCCAUCGUCUAUUUGCUGAAACAGUAGC